rnacentral:lncRNA from 1 species
ACAUAUAAACAUACAUUUUAAUCUCUAUUAAAACAAUUUUGGUCCUAUUACAACUAUUGGUCCAUCUCAUUGUUUUAGUUGUACAUAAUACUCCCACUAUGCUUUUAAAACGGUUUUUAAAGCAAGAGUAUAUGUUACUACUAACGUAAGGUUUGCAUUCAUUUGAUGGACUAUAUAGUUGCCUUAGGGCCUUAGGAUGACUAUGAACCUUUG